rnacentral:rRNA from 1 species
UACGUAGGGUGCGAGCGUUAAUCGGAAUUACUGGGCGUAAAGCGUGCGCAGGCGGUUUUGUAAGUCCGAUGUGAAAUCCCCGGGCUUAACCUGGGAACUGCGUUUGAAACUACAAGGCUAGAGUGUGGCAGAGGGGGGUGGAAUUCCACGUGUAGCAGUGAAAUGCGUAGAGAUGUGGAGGAACACCGAUGGCGAAGGCAGCCCCCUGGGAUGAUACUGACGCUCAUGCACGAAAGCGUGGGGAGCAAACGGG